rnacentral:lncRNA from 1 species
AGUGAGUGUGUCUGGGGGAACGAUCGAACAAGGAAGGAGGAGGGGGAAACCCUAAACUCAAGAAAUCAAGCAAUUGAAGCCUAAAAUCAUAAGAAAAUCCAGUGCAUGAGCCAUCUUAUCGAUCAUCUAAGCAUACCUAGUGAAGUGCUUGAAAGAAUAAGAACCAUGCCAAGAUGGACCAACUCAUGGGAAGCAAACGGGUCAAAGAGGAGGCAAAGAAACUAGCAUAAACAUGACGAGCACGAGGUAAGUGAUUUCUAUAAUCACUUCUUUAGUUGUUUAAGUAAUAUAAUGUUUUAAUUAUUAAGUUCAUAUGAAGUUGAGGUCAAAUCAAUAGAUUAUUUUGAUAAAUGCACGAAUGGGUCGAAUAAUUCAUAGAUAAAUAACAAGCCGAAUACGUAUAAGUUAAGAAAUUCCUUAACUCGGAUGUUGGACUUCAAGGUCACAUGAUAGAAUAUUAAAUUACAAUCAUAUAGGAAGAAACGUGACGCAAAACGGAUGAAAAAUGAGAGAGUUAUGUCCGUUUCGGUAAGGAUUAAUGGCUAGGAAAAGUGCAGAGUUGACACGGCCGGGUGGUGAACUGACACGGCCGGGUGAAGGUUCUGUCAAAAAUAUUAUUUAUGUGAUUUAUGCGCCGUAGGUUGCGUUAUAUUAUCCGUGAAUUACGACGGGCCUCCCAAACAUGAUUUCGAGUGUUUCCUUGACGAUUAUAAGUUUUAAACCCAAGUCUAAGCCUCAUGUAAUUUAUAUAAGAGUGUGUUAGAUGUAUGUAAUGAGGUUGGACAUGUAUUACAUGUAAAUGUAUACAAAAAUACGUACGGAACACGUAGGUAUGAAUACAUGAUUGUAGGUAAGAUUAAAUGUAUUCUAGGUAUGUAGAUGUGUAUGAUUGUAAGAUUGUAUGUGUGCAAGUAUGUGCGAAUGCAUGAUUUGGUUGCACUUGAGAAUUAGCGUUACUAAUAAUGCCCUUGGGUUUGGAAUAUAAGUUAAUUGGAUGCAUUUAAAUGGUUGACGUCCUUUUUAUGAAGAUGUAGUAAAUGAAUAUGUUGAGAUUACGGGUUUGGCUAACCAAGUUAUUAUUAAGUAUGUUUGAAAGUGCAGGUUAUGAAUGUCGGACUUUCAAAGUGUUGAUAUAAUAAUGAAACGGUUGAAUCUUGAAAGGAUAAUCGGAUUGAAGUAACUUAUGCGGUUAGAAUAUGCUGUGGACGUUUUAGUUUAUACAACAUUUUAUGUUUGGUCGUCAUCAUCUACCAACGGGUUAGUUGUUUGAAAAUAUAUGUCAUACCCAUUUAAUUGGGUAAUCGAAUGCGCGAGAGAAAUGAAAGUACAUACACGAAUGGAACUAAAGUGACGGUUUUAUAAGUAAAUAAGUAAAUCACUAAAUUUUAAAGCUUUGUUGUUGAAUGUAGGUAAAUCCUCAAUUCAGGCGACUUGGAGAAUCGGAGCGAGCGCGUGUUCAUGUUAUGUCAUACUAAACGCUUCCGCUAGCUUGUUCAAAUGUUUUUAGUCCAAAAUUUGUUGUAUUGGUUCUUAGUAGUAUUUUGUCGAAUGAAUCGUAGAAUUGUAUCUAGUUUGAUUAUGUUUAAAACAGGGGAAUGCUCGUUUUAUGGACGGGUCAUGCCCAAUUUUUGUUAAAUUAAUGCACCUGCGUUAUU